rnacentral:rRNA from 1 species
AAACCAGCACCUCAAGUGGUCAGGAUGAUUAUUGGGCCUAAAGCAUCCGUAGCCGGCUCUGUAAGUUUUCGGUUAAAUCUGUACGCUUAACGUACAGGCUGCCGGGAAUACUGCAGAGCUAGGGAGUGGGAGAGGUAGACGGUACUCGGGAGGAAGUGGUAAAAUGCUUUGAUCCCUCGAUGACCACCUGUGGCGAAGGCGGUCUACCAGAACACGUCCGACGGUGAGGGAUGAAAGCUGGGGGAGCAAACCGGAUUAGAAACCCGGGUAGUCC